UUAUAGCCGCUGCUGUUUACACGAGCGUAAAGUCAAAAAGCUUAAUUUAUGUGGAAAGUUAAAAAAAUGACAAAAAAUAAAUGAAAAAGGAAUGCAGUUGUUUAAAGAAGGCUUACAAUUAGCUUCAUAUUUAACCAUCAAAUCAACAUUAGCUAGCAAAGCUAGAAACAUGCGGGCUCCUGCAUGCUCUCGUUGGGGAUGUUGCAGCUUGCUGCGGGGUCGUUCUCCCAGGAAGGCAGACGGACUACUCGGGACAUGGCGUGCAGGUAUAAACAUGAUUUAAUCUUUAACUCAGAAAAGGUGAAAACAAAAAGGCUCACAAGGCGAAAGCACAACUUGACGCUGGAAACAAAACUAUGUGUCAUGAUCCACGACUUGGAUCAUGUCAUGUUCUGUUCUUGUUGUGUUUGUAUAUUUCAUCCUGUUAUUUGACUUCCUUAGUUCCUGGUGGCACUUCCUGUUUUGUUCCGUUGUCAUAGUUACCCAUUUAGUGUCACCUGCCUUCUGUUUGUCACGCGCACCUGAUUUGUGAUUAUCUCUUCAUUUAAGACUGCCUUUGUUUGCCAUUCGCUAUCGGACUCUUAUUUGCUUCCAUGCAACAGGUGACAUCGCUCUUCCCGCAUUGUAGGAAUUACUUUUGUGUACUUUAGCUUCCACGCUAUUCUGUUGUUUGUCCCUAGCUCAUGCUCGCUCUUUCUGUUGGUUUUGUUUGUGGUGCCUUCGUGCAAGUGUUUUUGUUCCUACUGUGGUUUUGUAGUUAUAUAUAAAUUAUCAUUUCUACCUUCACGCUGUGUUCCAUCUCCGCUGCACCCACAAGAGAACGCUACCACACCACGAUGCCAGCAAAGCGUCACACUAUGGACAUGAAACAAAAGUAGCUAACAGUGGCACGAAUAAACAAAAAAACUUAUUUGGCAUGGCAUGAAAAGAACAGAGGCAUUGCAUGAAACAAACAAGACUUACGAACAAUGACGCCAGGCCGACUGACUGGCAAAGACGAGCUUAAAUACUGCCUCUGAUUAGUGUUCGGGUAGCAGGUCAGCAGGCGAGCACUAAUCAGAGACAGGUGAACACAAUGAGUAAACAAGGUGACAAAACAAACAAGCAAGUGCAAACAGGAACUAAUGGAGUUGUCAUGGAAACUAAAACAAACAAGGGUGCACAAAGACAGGAAGUAAUGGAGUCCAAAACUAGCAGAAAAAUAACAAAACAUUAUCCAGACCAUAGAACAUGAAAUAUUUAUUGUUUAUAAUAACUAGCCUUUGUCCAUGCACAUAAUAAACAUUAAUCAAGUGUUUGGAUGUAUUCAUCAAAUAAAUGUAUUCUUGCACAUGCCUGUGCAUGAAUUAUUAGUUUACCCCAACAGAGUUACAUACAUGAUAAUAAAGUACAUACUGUACUGUUUACGUGUUGAAAUGCGUUGAUCACUAAACCUUCGCUCUUGGGGCUUUGUCUGUCAGCAACUGAUUACUACAUGUAAGAUCUGACAAACACUUAUAUUCGUGGUUAUUGUAUCGAUAUCUGUUUGAAAUCAUUUAAGCAUUUAUUGUGUCCGAAAAUUAAAGAGUUGGCCAUUUUUAUGGUAGUAAUGAGAUUGUAAAGAACAGUUGUUGAUCCAAUUUUAAUGUGCUAAUAACUUUUUCUUGUUUAAAAUACCUGGUCUUUGUCCGUGCGCAUAGUAAACAUUAAUCAAGUGUUUGGAUGUAUUCAUCAAAUAAAUGUACUCUUGGGUGCCAACAAGUGAUUCAGUGUAAUACUUUGACACAUGUCUGUGCAUUAAUUAUUAGUUUACCCCAAGAGAGUUACAUACAUGAUAAUAAAGUACAUACUGUGCUGUUUACUUGUUGAAGUACCCUUUAAAAAGCUGAAACCUACCCCAAACAACAACGUAUGCUUGCCAAAGUGAUUCAAAGUAACAUUUUGAUAUUAACACAUCGUCAUCUGCACACCUCUUAAGGGUAGUCUACUCUUUUAUGCACAGGUGAGAUGCGUCAAUAUCAAAAUAUUACUUUGACUUCCUUUUAUUGUCAUUCAAAUUUGAACUUUACGGUACAGAUAAGAAAUACAUUUUGUUGCAUUAGCUCGUUGUAGUGCAGGAUAAAAGGGCAAUAAGGUGCAGAUAUAAAUAAAUAGAUUACUGUACAGAUAAAUAUAUUGAACUUUUGCAUAC